rnacentral:rRNA from 1 species
GACGAACGCUGGCGGCGUGCUUAACACAUGCAAGUCGAACGGAAAUGCCCUGCUUUUGUGGGGUGCUCGAGUUGCGAACGGGUGAGUAACACGUGAGUAACCUGCCCUUGACUUUUGGAUAACUUCAGGAAACUUGGGCUAAUACCGGUUAGGAGCUCCUGCUGCAUGGUGGGGGUUGGAACGUUUCGGCGGUUGGGGAUGGACUCGCGGCUUAUCAGCUUGUUGGUGGGGUAGUGGCUUACCAAGGCUUUGGCGGGUAGCCGGCCUGAGAGGGUGACCGGCAACAGUGGGACUGAGAUACGGCCCAGACUCCUACGGGAGACAGCAGUAGGGAAUAUUGCACGAUGGGCGGAAGCCUGAUGCAGCAACGCCGCGUGCGGGAUGACGGACUUCGGGUUGUAAACCGCUUUCGCCUGUGACGAAGCGUGAGUGACGGUAAUGGGUAAAGAAGCACCGGCUAACUACGUG